GACGAACGCUGGCGGCGUGCUUAACACAUGCAAGUCGAACGAGGUCCAAGGUGUAGCAAUACAUCUGAAGACCUAGUGGCGAACGGGUGCGUAACACGUGAGGAACUUGUCCCGGUCUCUGGGAUAACAGUUGGAAACGACUGCUAAUACCGGAUGACGUCGGAGCAUCGCAUGGUGCGCUGACGAAAGGGUUACUGGAUCGGGAGAGCCUCGCGGCCUANCAGCUUGUUGGUGGGGUAACGGCCCACCAAGGCAUCGACGGGUAGCUGGUCUGAGAGGAUGAUCAGCCACACUGGGACUGAGACACGGCCCAGACUCCUACGGGAGGCAGCAGUGGGGAAUCUUGCGCAAUGGGCGAAAGCCUGACGCAGCAACGCCGCGUGCGGGAUGAAGGCUCUCGGGUUGUAAACCGCUUUCAGCAGGAAAG
rnacentral:rRNA from 1 species